rnacentral:rRNA from 2 species
UACGUAGGGGCCAAGCGUUGUCCGGAAUUACUGGGCGUAAAGCGUGGGUAGGUGGUCGAUGAUGUGCCGCGUGAAAGCGCCGGAGUAAUGCCGGCGAGGUCGCGGUAGACACGUUGACUAGAGGCUCGCAGAGGAACGUGGAAUUCCCGGUGUAGUGGUGAAAUGCGUAGAUAUCGGGAGGAACACCAGUGGCGCAAGCGGCGUUCUGGGCGAGACCUGACACUGAGCCACGACGGCGUGGGGAGCAAACAGG